CACAGGUCUUUUGACAGUUAUUUCUGCUCCCCAUGGCUCAGUAUCUAGCCUGCUCAGUGCAUCCACGCGGGGCUAACAAACCUAUUGACUACGUAUACACAGACACUAAAUGCAACUUAAAAUGCCACAGGUAUGGGAAAUUAACCUUUAAUUGCCAUUUUAAACUGUGUGUGUCACCUAGUGUGUCUGUAACAUGGCCAAACAUUCAAGGGUAUGUAAACUUUUGAUCAGGUCCAUUUGGGGGAUUACUGUUAUCAUUAUGAUAAAAGGAGCCCAACAACUAUGUGAUAAUAAAUGGCUUCAUAUGAUCACUAUCGUUCAAUAAAAUACAUUUUAUAUAGCACAACUGUAUAUAGAAAAU